CUGAGCGAAAGGCUGUUGAGUUUGGAUUCAGCAGAGGUAAAGCAGCAGUUACAGAUGAUCAUCAAAAGACGAUCAUGGAUGGAUUGGAUGGUGUUACCGAAUCGAUUCUAAAUGCUGCCAACAUAGAUGAGGCCUUGCUCCACACCCUCAGCCGUGAGGAAUUGUGAGACCUUUUUCCUGGGCUAGAAAACUUUCUCAGGAGGAAACAGUUGUGGGCUCUUGUUCACAAAGAGGAUGAGAAUCCCGCUUUACCAGACAAAACAGGCCCCAGUGAAAUAGGAACUGUGUCUUCACUUCAAGGAACACCUCCAUCUCCACAGACAUCUACUCCCUUGGUGGAGAAACCUCCAAGGAAGACCCUACAGCUUCCCAGUCCUCCAGAAUAUGUGAUCUACACAGACAGUGAGUUGGAGCUAGCUUGUAAGCACUAUUUUGAGAUGGUCCGCUCUGGCAGAGAGGGGGAAGCUGCCAUGUCCAAGGAACUGAGAUGCAGACUGGUGAGGAACACCGUCACCAACAUGAUUUCGCUCUUGAGAGCAAGCCAGCUAGCAGAGGAUCUCCGGUACUCUCCUAAGCAUGAAGUUACUGCCAUGGCCAAGAAACUUGAAGAGUAUUAUCCCAUGCUAGAGGACAAAGACUUACCUACCAAAUAUAUAAGCGUGUACAGCUAUCUUCAGAAGAGGAUACUGAAUGUGAAAUCUCCUCAAAAGAGGCAGGGGCCCAGACCAGAGAGGGGCUGAUCAAACUAAAGGUGUCCCAUUGACUUCUCACCAAGUGACCAGGAAGAAGAUUAUAAUGCAGAUUCAAGUGGGAGAUCAACAGUUAUGGCAACUGGCAGCAGCUCUGAUUGCAACAGUUCAUUCCAGCAGCACAGGCCCGGCAAUACAAGACUCUGCAGGAGAUGUUUAAGAAGCCAAAACCCAACCAAGAUGCUGUCUGCCAAAUCCUUGACCUGGAGUUUCAAUCAAUAAGAGCCUUUAUUGACUGUGAUGUUUUGAGAGAAGAGGACAGGCCAACAAAGAUUCUGGAGGCAUAUCCAUGUUUCAUGGAGCUACACAAUAUUUCAUCAAAGAUUCUACAUAGCCGCUUCAAGUGGAGACUGAGAAGCAGCAGUCAUAGCAGCAGCAGGAAAAGAUUUUUACACCAAAGUACUGACCAGGGCUGUAAUGUGAAGCAUGGAGGGUGCUGUUCUUCACUGAUGUUCACCAAAUCAC